rnacentral:tRNA from 1 species
GCCUACGUGGUGUAACGGUAGUAUACUCGCCGCAUAUUCGAGAGGUUCAGGGUUCGAGUCCCGGCGAAGGCA